GGAAGUUAAGAAACUGUUUCUUAACUUUUAACUAAAAAAGCUAAGAACUGGUUCUUAAAGUCCUUAUUUAAGAACCGGUUCUUAGCUUUUUUAGUUAAAAGUUAAGAAACGGUUUCUUAACUUCC
rnacentral:pre_miRNA from 1 species